UAUGCCCGAAAGUAGUGAGAACAAGAAGAUGGAUACAAGUGAAUAAAAUCAAACUAGGACGGCUCCUGAACAUAAACAGCCUAAUACCAAACCUUCCAAGGGUUCAAAGCAGACCAAUGCAUGACUCAGUACUGUUUCGCGUUGACUAUUAUAAGAAAAAAUGGGUAAAGUUUGACUUGCACACUGUUGCCCGAUCUUGGAACAUUGUCACUUGGGCUCAUUAGUCAUUACAGGUUGAUUUGUUCUGGUUUAAGGUAAAAUCGUAAAUCCUACGGUGAGUAAAGUUUUAGAUUUUUUUGAAUUGAACUGAACUGAAUAGUAAUUUUUUUUAAAAUCGAACCGAUUGAAACCGUUGUUUUAUGAUUUAUGAUUUUUGUUGCUCAAUUACAUUUACUUAUUAUAUACGGAUAAAUAUAUAAAAAUAUAAUUUAUAAACUAACAAAAAUCACGAAAACUAAAAAUCUAAACUAAACUAAUAAGCUAAAAAUUGUCCAAAAGUAUCGAUAAUAGCAAAUAUUAAACAACCUAAUAAACUAAAAAGCAUCCAAAAAUAUCAAUAGUAGCAACAUUAAAUAAUUUCAAAUACAAUAUUAAACCCGUAACAAACUAAAAAUCGUUUGGUUUGGUCCUAGAUAUAUAUACAAAUAAAUAAACUCACGAUUUGAUUUGAUUUUUAACCGCGGUUCGAACCGUUAAUUUGAAAACCAAACUGUGAGGAAACGGUUUAAUUUUUUCGAAACGUAAACCGAACCGAUCAGGAAAAAAUCGAACCGAACCGAAUCGUACAGCUUGAACGAUUUCAUGGUUCAACCAAUUUUUUUACUCAGUCUUCAUUGACAGUACUACCAAACUCCUUUGCCCUGAUUGAUUGGAGGGAUUAGAAAAAAAGGUUAAGUUAAUGCGAUAGGAUUAGGUAAUAUUGUGAGGUUUGCAUGUUAUGUAUACUUAUAUACUAUGUUGGUAAGCAUGUAAUAAAAUAUGAUACAAGACUUGGAGUAUUAUUUUUGACUGUUGGAUUGAAUGGAGGAGAUAAUUUAGAGGUUGGUUAGUCUUGGAUUUCUUAUACUAGGGAAGAAGGUGGGAUACAAUAGUAAUUAGUAUCUAAUUUGGAGGGUUAUUAGUCCAAAUUCUAGUCCAAUCAGAACCUUUGUAUACUGGUUUGUGGCUUAAUUAUAGAAAAACCCCAAACGCUAACGAUUUUCCACUACACCCCCUCAAUUAAAAAACCGAUCACUUACACCCCUAUAACUAAUUAAAAAUUGCAAAACCCCUUACACCGUUAACGGAAUCUAUCAAUUAACUAUAAAUACCCCAAAUAUUUAAACACACACUCACUCCCUCUCUCAUUUACUUUUCCUCCUUUCUCUUUCUCUCAUGUUCUCUUCUUUCUUGCUCUAACUCUCUGUUUUUCUGGAGGAAUAGGGGGAGUUUCUCCUCUAGAGAGGACUCUCCCCCAUGGGUAGGGUUCUUUAGGUUUUCACCGGCCUCGUUUUCUUAGGUUUGAGUAUCUUUCGGGGGAGCCUGAGUCUUCCCUUUCUGGUUUGGUCUUCUGGCCUUUGGGUUCUUCGUCAGUGUGUUUCAGUCCAAAUUUGGUUUUCUUUGAAACGUUUUCGAUUUCCGCACCGAUACUUUGAUGUAUUUGGUCUCUAAUUCGGAGGUUCGACCUCCAAUCGUGUAACUUCUGGAGUUUUUUUUCUGGGGUUUUCUAUGCUCGAUCCCCUUUGUUUCCUGAGCGGUGAGGUUCCUGAUCUGAGUCCUCUGAGUUCUUCUUCGCAACGGCGAGGUGGAAUCUGUGUAUCUGGUUGAUUACGCAAGUUCCCCCUUUUGGGGUUGUGCUUUUUUUCCAGUGGGGCGAUGGUGUGGGUUGAUCACAAUUUUUGUGUGUGUGUCCAAUGAUUCUUUAUUAAUUAUUCUCUUCAUGCUAGACGUCAACGGGUACCUGAGAGUUGAUCACAACUUGGGCUAUUUUCUUAUCAUUCUAGAACUAUUGCUGGUUAGCUGAUAAUUUCAUACUUGCUAGUUUACACUGUGUUCUUUCAACAAAUAUAAAAUCAGGAGAAUUGAAUUCACAUGAAAACCCACUUAGUGGACAAUUCUGUCCCAAAUAAAUGCAUUGAAGAAAUCCUAGUCAUGAAACAGAACCUUGCACGAAUUUGAACCAAAAACUCCUUCACCUCGUCGAAAAUGCGGUCUGACCUAGCUCGAACGCAGAAAUUUGAACAUGGGCCUUUUGUUUCCCUUUCUUUUCGCUCAAAAAUCACAGAAUUCCUUCCGAUUUUUGCAAAAUAGGAAAACGGUUUCUUCGAAUCGCAGUUGGUUUUUUGUUCCUUGAAUGAGAGAACAUCACAUUGGGGAAGGAGCUUCGUUGAAGAAGCUAUUUUCUCUAUUCUUCGCGAGAUUUGACCGUGCGAAAACUCGCCACGACGAGACUGCAAGGAGAAGACGAGACACCCCAUUGUAGGCUAAGAGAAGAACAUAGGAAGAGAGAGAAAAGCCUAUA
rnacentral:lncRNA from 1 species